CGCGUCCCCGCCCCCGCCU
rnacentral:rRNA from 1 species